ACAUUUGUAAUUCAUUUUUGCAUAGGUGAAAUUUUAUAGAAAUUUUUUUUAUCCACAAUUGAACAAAUUAAUCAUCGUUGGGUUAGUACUCUCACCUAUGAUAGACAUUAAUUCAAUUUAGCUUUGUAAUCAAACUACGCUGAACUACAAUUAAACUAAACUAAAACUAGUGAAUGAUUUCCGGCUCAAGUUAUCAUCUGGUUCGAGAUGUCUAUAUUAAACCCAUGAAUUAAACUAUCUAUAGCUAAUAAUAUUCCAGAUUUAAUGGCCCAAACAAUUACCAGAACAUAAUAUCCCUAAGCUAAAUAUCAGUAAUAUUAGUAAAUACAUAAAUUGACAAUUAUAAACAGUCCCAAUUACUUUGAAACAUCCCUACUUACAGUCCUCAUACUAGCAACGUAUCACAAAACUGAUUUUUCUAACUAAACAAUAAUUCAACUACAAAUAUGAGUUUUCUCAUUAUAUAAACUUCAAAAUGGCAUUCUACAUGUGAACACACCCUCAACAUUACUUGAACAAGGGAAUAUACCUGGAAGUAUGACAUAACAAAGGAGAAAAGAGAAGUCAGCUAGGCAGCAACAAUAUACAGCAAUUUCCAACAACAAACGCAGUCAGUUUCAGUUCAAAAUUGAAUCAGUGAUCCAGGAGAUUUUGAGUCAAAUAGAACAGGGAAAUUAGGCCCAAAUCAGCCCAAAACCAACCAAAUAGAUUUGAAAUCGAAUCCAGAAAUACCCCCUGCACAACAACAAAAAUGAUCUCAAAACCCACUUGAAAACAACCAGAAACCACUUUGAACUCCGACCACCAGCAACUGAGCUACAUGAAAUCAUAUUUUUCUAACUAAACAAUAAUUCAACUACAAAUAUGAGUUUUCUCAUUAUAUAAACUUCAAAAAUGGCCUACUACAUGUGAACACACCUUCAGCAUUACUUGAACAAGGGAAUGUACCUAGAAAUGUGAGAUAACAAAUGAGAAGAGAGAAGUCAGCUAGGCAGCAGUAGUAUACAGCAAUUUCCAGCAACAAACACAAUCAGUUUCACUUCAAAAUUGAAUCAGUGAUCCAGGAGAUUUUUAGUCAAAUAGAACAAGGAAAUUAGGCCCAAAGCAGCCUCAAAACCAACCAAAUAGAUUUGAAAUCGAAUCCAGAAAUACCCCACAGCACAACAGCAAAAAUGAUCCCAAUACCCACUUCAAAACAACCAGAAACCACUCUGAACUUCGACCACCAGCAACUGAGCUACAUGAUCCAAUUCAACUACUAAACUUGAAAUUAAACUAGGAGAUCUGAAUGGAACAAUACUUGUUUUUGGGUUUUGAAAGAGCUUUUUCUUUUGUUUUUGUUGUUUUUUUUGUUUUCUAUCAACAAAAUUAAAAUCUAGAAUAAGAACUUUGAGUUUUCUACUGAUUUGAGAUUCAAAAUUAAGCUUAUAUCUGAGAGAGGAAUUUUGGGGAAUUUUAGGGCUCCCCAAAACCUUGAUUUUCUUUUCUAAGGCUAAGAUGAAAGUUUGAGAGAGAACUUCAGAAUUUCUUCAAUGGGCG
rnacentral:lncRNA from 1 species